UACGGAGGGGGCUAGCGUUGUUCGGAAUUACUGGGCGUAAAGCGCACGUAGGCGGCUUUGUAAGUUAGAGGUGAAAGCCCGGGGCUCAACUCCGGAAUUGCCUUUAAGACUGCAUCGCUAGAAUUGUGGAGAGGUAAGUGGAAUUCCGAGUGUAGAGGUGAAAUUCGUAGAUAUUGGGAGGAACACCAGUGGCGAAGGCGGCUCACUGGACCGGAACUGACGCUGAGGCGCGAAAGCGUGGGGAGCAAACAGG
rnacentral:rRNA from 1 species